UUUCUUUGCUGGCGACCGGCGCACGGGUGAGUAACACGUAUCCAACCUUCCCUUUACUCGGGGAUAGCCUUUCGAAAGAAAGAUUAAUACCCGAUAGCAUAAUGAUUCCGCAUGGUUUCAUUAUUAAAGGAUUCCGGUAAAGGAUGGGGAUGCGUUCCAUUAGGUUGUUGGUGAGGUAACGGCUCACCAAGCCUUCGAUGGAUAGGGGUUCUGAGAGGAAGGUCCCCCACAUUGGAACUGAGACACGGUCCAA
rnacentral:rRNA from 1 species